CCUUACGGCCAUACCACCCUGAGCACGCCUGAUUUCGGCUAAUCUCCGAAGCUAAGCAGGGUCAGGCCUGGUUAGUACUUGGAUGGGAGACUGCCUAGGAAUACCAGGUGCUGUAAGCC
rnacentral:rRNA from 1 species